GAUGUCGGGCAUAUCUGAGGCGCUCCACGCAAAGAGGUUGUUGUUGGUUCGUAACAGUGUGGUGAGGUCGCCUUCAUUCGCAGAAGUGAGGUCAGCUCCUACGUUAGUAAUCUGUUCAUCAUUCUUCCCUAGGACGAACGAUUUGAUCUCCCCCUGGGGUGGAACCCGGUCGUUUGUGUUGGUCCUUGGGUCUAGGUCGACCAGUAUGGUUUCAG
rnacentral:lncRNA from 1 species